CCUAAAGGGGGUAGGUAACUGGAAACUGUUUUGUGAUCCUUCUUCAAAGAGAAACAAGACAAAAUACAAAACAGGUCAUCGGGCGUGUUCCUGGCUUGCUGUUUGUCAAUGCUUCCCAGAUGGUCACCUGGAAAGAAAAUAUGAAUAGUAACAUAGAUGUAACCCUUGGGCAUCCACCCAGUGGCCCAAGUAAAUGACUUCGCUUGCCUGAAAGAUACACUUUUCCUUUUUCAAGUGCACUCCUGCUUCCAAGAACCAUUUUAAGACUUCUUCCAAGUUAGUCAAGUGUUCCGCUUCUGUUAACCCAGUUAUUAGGACAUUGUCCAGAUAGAACACAACUUGAGGUGGUCCUUGCAGCAAGGUCCCCAUCAUCCUCUGGAAA